UCGGCAGGCCUAACACAUGCAAGUCGAACGGUAACAGGAAACAUCUUGCUGUUUCGCUGACGAGUGGCGGACGGGUGAGUAAUGUCUGGGAAACUGCCUGAUGGAGGGGGAUAACUACUGGAAACGGUAGCUAAUACCGCAUAACGUCGCAAGACCAAAGAGGGGGACCUUCGGGCCUCUUGCCAUCGGAUGUGCCCAGAUGGGAUUAGCUUGUUGGUGGGGUAACGGCUCACCAAGGCGACGAUCCCUAGCUGGUCUGAGAGGAUGACCAGCCACACUGGAACUGAGACACGGUCCAGACUCCUACGGGAGGCAGCAGUGGGGAAUAUUGCACAAUGGGCGCAAGCCUGAUGCAGCCAUGCCGCGUGUAUGAAGAAGGCCUUCGGGUUGUAAAGUACUUUCAGCGGGGAGGAAGGGAGUAAAGUUAAUACCUUUGCUCAUUGACGUUACCCGCAGAAGAAGCACCGGCUAACUCCGUGCCAGCAGCCGCGGUAAUACGGAGGGUGCAAGCGUUAAUCGGAAUUACUGGGCGUAAAGCGCGCGCAGGCGGUUUGUUAAGUCAGAUGUGAAAUCCCCGGGCUCAACCUGGGAACUGCAUCUGAUACUGGCAAGCUUGAGUCUCGUAGAGGGGGGUAGAAUUUCCAGGUGUAGCGGUGAAAUGCGUAGAGAUCUGGAGGAAUACCGGUGGCGAAGGCGGCCCCCUGGACGAAGACUGACGCUCAGGUGCGAAAGCGUGGGGAGCAAACAGGAUUAGAUACCCUGGUAGUCCACGCCGUAAACGAUGUCGACUUGGAGGUUGUGCCCUUGAGGCGUGGCUUCCGGAGCUAACGCGUUAAGUCGACCGCCUGGGGAGUACGGCCGCAAGGUUAAAACUCAAAUGAAUUGACGGGGGCCCGCACAAGCGGUGGAGCAUGUGGUUUAAUUCGAUGCAACGCGAAGAACCUUACCUGGUCUUGACAUCCACAGAACUUUCCAGAGAUGGAUUGGUGCCUUCGGGAACUGUGAGACAGGUGCUGCAUGGCUGUCGUCAGCUCGUGUUGUGAAAUGUUGGGUUAAGUCCCGCAACGAGCGCAACCCUUAUCCUUUGUUGCCAGCGGUCCGGCCGGGAACUCAAAGGAGACUGCCAGUGAUAAACUGGAGGAAGGUGGGGAUGACGUCAAGUCAUCAUGGCCCUUACGACCAGGGCUACACACGUGCUACAAUGGCGCAUACAAAGAGAAGCGACCUCGCGAGAGCAAGCGGACCUCAUAAAGUGCGUCGUAGUCCGGAUUGGAGUCUGCAACUCGACUCCAUGAAGUCGGAAUCGCUAGUAAUCGUGGAUCAGAAUGCCACGGUGAAUACGUUCCCGGGCCUUGUACACACCGCCCGUCACACCAUGGGAGUGGGUUGCAAAAGAAGUAGGUAGCUUAACCUUCGGGAGGGCGCUUACCACUUUGUGAUUCAUGACUGGG
rnacentral:rRNA from 1 species